AUGAACGCUGGCGGCGUGCCUCAUACCUGCCAGUCGCGCGAACAGGCGAGGAGCUUGCUCCUCUGACGUUAGCGGCGGACGGGUGAGUAACACGUGGAUAACCUACCUAUAAGACUGGGAUAACUUCGGGAAACCGGAGCUAAUACCGGAUAAUAUAUUGAACCGCAUGGUUCAAUAGUGAAAGACGGUUUUGCUGUCACUUAUAGAUGGAUCCGCGCCGCAUUAGCUAGUUGGUAAGGUAACGGCUUACCAAGGCAACGAUGCGUAGCCGACCUGAGAGGGUGAUCGGCCACACUGGAACUGAGACACGGUCCAGACUCCUACGGGAGGCAGCAGUAGGGAAUCUUCCGCAAUGGGCGAAAGCCUGACGGAGCAACGCCGCGUGAGUGAUGAAGGUCUUCGGAUCGUAAAACUCUGUUAUUAGGGAAGAACAAAUGUGUAAGUAACUAUGCACGUCUUGACGGUACCUAAUCAGAAAGCCACGGCUAACUACGUG
rnacentral:rRNA from 1 species